rnacentral:rRNA from 1 species
GACAGAGGUGCCGAGCGUUAGGCGGAAUCACUGGGCUUAAAGCGUGUGUAGGCGGACCGUUAAGUGUCUUGUGAAAUCCCACGGCUCACCCGUGGAACGGCUGGGCAGACUGGCGGUCUUGAGAGCCUAGGGGCAGACGGAACAAGCGGUGGAGCGGUGAAAUGCGUUGAUAUCGGAAGGAACGCCGGUGGCGAAAGCGACGUACUGGACCUCUUCUGACGCUGAGGCGCGAAAGCUAGGGGAGCAAACGGG